GGGGGGAGGUCGGAUCCUGGGCUGUGUCCCUGGCGCCCUGUGCUCCCCGGCCUGCGCUUUUGGAUUUGCGCUCCCGGGGGGCAGCCCCU
rnacentral:pre_miRNA from 1 species